AUUGAACGCUGGCGGCAUGCUUUACACAUGCAAGUCGAACGGCAGCGCGGGCUUCGGCCUGGCGGCGAGUGGCGAACGGGUGAGUAAUGCAUCGGAACGUGCCCAGUAGUGGGGGAUAGCCCGGCGAAAGCCGGAUUAAUACCGCAUACGACCUGAGGGUGAAAGCGGGGGGCCGAAAGGCCUCGCGCUAUGGGAGGGGCCGAUGUCGGGUUAGCUAGUUGGUGGGGUAAAGGCUUACCUAGGCGACGAUCCGUAGCUGGUCUGAGAGGACGACCAGCCACACUGGGACUGAGCCACGGCCCAGACUCCUACGGGAGGCAGCAGUGGGGAAUUUUGGACAAUGGGGGCAACCCUGGUCCAGCCAUGCCGCGUGCGGGAAGAAGGCCUUCGGGUUGUAAACCGCUUUUGUUCGGGAAGAAAUCCUCUGGGCUAAUACCCCGGGGGGAUGACGGUACCGGAAGAAUAAGCACCGGCUAACUACGUG
rnacentral:rRNA from 1 species